GUUUCAGCAGCCGCGGUAAUACGGAGGGGGCGAGCGUUAUUCGGAAUUAUUGGGCGUAAAGGGCGCGUAGGCGGCCUCUUAAGUCAAAGGUGAAAUCCCUCGGCUCAACUGAGGAACUGCCUUUGAAACUGGGGGGCUUGAGUCCGGGAGGGGGUAGCGGAAUUCCCAGUGUAGCGGUGAAAUGCGUAGAUAUUGGGAGGAACACCGGUGGCGAAGGCGGCUACCUGGACCGGAACUGACGCUGAUGCGCGAAAGCGUGGGUAGCAAACAGGAUUAGAUACCCGGGUAGUCC
rnacentral:rRNA from 1 species